AGCAUGCUGGUUUAGUGGUUUGAGUAUUGGAUUAUGAUUCUGGAGACUAGGGUUUGAUUCCCAGCUCUGCCA